rnacentral:rRNA from 1 species
GACGAACGCUGGCGGCGUGCUUAACACAUGCAAGUCGAGCGAUGAAGCUCCUUCGGGAGUGGAUUAGCGGCGGACGGGUGAGUAACACGUGGGUAACCUGCCUCAUAGAGGGGAAUAGCCUUCCGAAAGGAAGAUUAAUACCGCAUAAGAUUGUAGCUUCGCAUGAAGCAGCAAUUAAAGGAGUAAUCCGCUAUGAGAUGGACCCGCGUCGCAUUAGCUAGUUGGUGAGGUAACGGCUCACCAAGGCGACGAUGCGUAGCCGACCUGAGAGGGUGAUCGGCCACAUUGGGACUGAGACGCGGCCCAGACUCCUACGGGAGGCAGCAGUGGGGAAUAUUGCACAAUGGGGGGAACCCUGAUGCAGCAAUGCCGCGUGAAGGAUGAAGAAUUUCGGUUUGUAAACUUCUAUCGAUGGGGAAGAAAAAAAUGACGGUACCCAGGUAAGAAGCCCCGGCUAACUAUGUGCCAGCAGCCGCCGUAAUAC